rnacentral:piRNA from 3 species
CCAGGGUUCAAGUCCCUGUUCGGGCGA